AAAAAAAAAAAAAUCAGAAUGCUAAAGCAUUUAUUUUAGAGUUGACAUCUUCAUCAACCAUUAAAGAAAAUGAAAGGGAUUACUCUUGACACUUGAGAAAGCUAUAUGACAACUUCAAUUAAAAUUUUUGAUAGAGCGUAGUGCAGCUGCUGCCUACCACCUCUUUUGUUCAAAUGUUCCGAUCAAUUUCUACAUACAUAACUUCUUAAUUAAUUUCUAUUUACUUGCAUGUAUAGUGGCUUAAACUGAUUGUUGAUUUUGAAAGUUGCAUCAUCCAUCAACAAUUCUCAAUAUCAUACAACCCAGAUGGAUGAUUCUAUCUUAUACACUAUCAUCGUCAUCAUAAUUUUCUUUUCUUUCUCUGCUUAUUUGUAUAGAAACAAACAAAAUUAAUGGAAUAACAGAACCCAUCAUCGACAUUUUUCACCUAAACAAGACCAAGGACCAAAAGGCCAUGAAACUUGAAAGCCCAGAAGCAAUGCACACCCAGUCCAAUACCUUCUCUCUUCUCUGUUUCCUCUCUUUCCUCUCUCUUCUCUUCUCCGCAAACUCCUUGUAACUCUCUUUCCCUUCCUUCCCACUUUUCCCUUUCCUCCUUUCUCCCCACUCCAUUGCCCCAUCCAAAAUUACCAAACUCUCCUUCCCACUCAACGCCUUCCCUUCCAUAUCCUCCAUCCCCAUACUCACGUCCCUCACGUGAACCUCUCCUCCUUCCUUCCCUCCGCACGUCACCACCAUUUCACACUGCACGCACUCCCUCUCCGACCCUUUCCCUCCAUCUCCGGCUAAUAUGCUUGCAAAUUUCACCUGCACUUCCCCCGUCAGCCAGUGCCUCUGGACUGAAACUGCCCUCCGGCUCGACAUAUUCAUGGCCCGUUUCUGUUUUGGGUCGAUCAAGAUCCAGCUUAGAGUUACAUUCUCUUCCAGUUGUUUCAGCCACGAGUCUUUUUCACCCACCUGUCGUAUCCAUGUCGGCAAGGACUUCUCCGGUCCGACUAAGUCGACCCUGAAGGGAGAGCUGAGGAACCACGCGGUGACCGUCUCAGUCGCUUGAACCUUAGAGAAGAUGGGGACGUUUUUGUAGUAAAUAUCCACGGCUGAGAUCAAUUCUGUUGUUGUCGGAAAUGGACGAUCAAGAUCGUUGCAGCUGUGGCGAUGGAGGAGGAGAGGAUAGGAAUCGGAGAAGAGUGACCGGUGACCGAAGGGGAACGUGGAGACAGCAGCGGUGACGAGUGGGUGGUUAGCGGAUGGCCAUGUGGAUGUGCAAAUUUGUUGCCAGAGUUUGUCAUGGGCGGAGAGAGCGUUUAAUUCUGAGGAGGUACAGGCGAGGGCGGCCAGGGUGGGACCGUCAAGGCGGGAGAGGAUGUGGUUGUGGAGGACGUCAAGAUUGAGGGCGGAGAAGGAGAUUGUUCCGUCGACGUUUGAUGGCGGAGCCAUUGAUACUGUGAGCGAGCGGUGGUUCUGGUUUUGUACAGUGGAAGGUGUUUGAAUUUUGAAAGGAAAGUGUUUAUGAAUAGGGAGAAAAGAAAUGAAGGGAAUAUAUAUAUAUAUAUAUGGUGAA
rnacentral:misc_RNA from 1 species